GUGGGGAAUCUUAGACAAUGGGGGAAACCCUGAUCUAGCCAUGCCGCGUGAGCGAUGAAGGCCUUAGGGUUGUAAAGCUCUUUCAGCUGGGAAGAUAAUGACGGUACCAGCAGAAGAAGCCCCGGCUAACUCCGUGCCAGCAGCCGCGGUAAUACGGAGGGGGCUAGCGUUGUUCGGAAUUACUGGGCGUAAAGCGCGCGUAGGCGGACCAGAAAGUUGGAGGUGAAAUCCCAGGGCUCAACAUUGGAACUGCCUUCAAAACUCCUGGUCUGGAGUUCGAGAGAGGUGAGUGGAAUUCCGAGUGUAGAGGUGAAAUUCGUAGAUAUUCGGAGGAACACCAGUGGCGAAGGCGGCUCACUGGCUCGAUACUGACGCUGAGGUGCGAAAGCGUGGGGAGCAAACAGGAUUAGAAACCCUGGUAGUCC
rnacentral:rRNA from 1 species